UUCCGGUUGAUCCUGCCGGAAGCUACUGCUAUCGGGGUUCGAUUAAGCCAUGCGAGUUAAAUGUUCUUCGUGAACAUAGCGAACUGCUCAGUAACACGUGGAUAACCUACCCUUAGGACCGGAAUAACCCCGGGAAACUGGGGAUAAUACCGGAUAAGCCAUAGACGCUGGAAUGCCCUAUGGUUCAAAGCUCCGGCGCCUAAGGAUGGAUCUGCGGUCUAUCAGGUUGUAGUGGGUGUAACGUACCUACUAGCCGACGACGGAUACGGGUUGUGAGAGCAAGAGCCCGGAGAUGUAUUCUGAGACACGAAUCCAGGCCCUACGGGGUGCAGCAGGCGCGAACACUUUACAAUGCGGGAAACCGCGAUAAGGGAACCCCGAGUGCCAGCAUCAAAUGUUGGCUGUCCAGAUGGUUAAAAAUCAUUUGUUAGCAAGGGCCGGGCAAGACCGGUGCCAGCCGCCGCGGUAACACCGGCGGCCCGAGUGGUAGCCGUUUUUAUUGGGUCUAAAGGGUCCGUAGCCGGCCUGAUAAGUCCUUUGGGAAAUCUGACAGCUUAACUGUCAGGCUUCUAAGGGAUACUGUCAGGCUUGGGACCGGAAGAGGUAAGGGGUACCCCAGGGGUAGGAGUGAAAUCUUGUAAUCCCUGGGGGACCAUCUGUGGCGAAGGCGCCUUACCAGAACGGGUCCGACGGUGAGGGACGAAAGCUAGGGGAGCAAACCGGAUUAGAUACCCGGGUAGUCCUAGCUGUAAACGAUGCUCGCUAGGUGUCAGACACGGUGCGACCGUGUUUGGUGCCGCAGGGAAGCCGUUAAGCGAGCCACCUGGGAAGUACGGUCGCAAGGCUGAAACUUAAAGGAAUUGGCGGGGGAGCACUACAACGGGUGGAGCCUGCGGGUUUAAUUUGCAUUCAACGCCCGGAAAUCGUCGA
rnacentral:rRNA from 1 species